GACGAACGCUGGCGGCGUGCUUAACACAUGCAAGUCGAACGGAAAGGCCCUGCUUUUGUGGGGUGCUCGAGUGGCGAACGGGUGAGUAACACGUGAGUAACCUGCCCUUGACUUUGGGAUAACUUCAGGAAACUGGGGCUAAUACCGGAUAGGAGCUCCUGCUGCAUGGUGGGGGUUGGAAAGUUUCGGCGGUUGGGGAUGGACUCGCGGCUUAUCAGCUUGUUGGUGGGGUAGUGGCUUACCAAGGCUUUGACGGGUAGCCGGCCUGAGAGGGUGACCGGCCACAUUGGGACUGAGAUACGGACCAGACUGCUACGGGAGGCAGCAGUGGGGAAUCUUGCACAAUGGGCGGAAGCCUGAUGCAGCAACGCCGCGUGCGGGAUGCCGGCCUUCGGGUUGUAAACCGCUUUCGACUGUGACGAAGCGUGCGUGACGGUAAUGGGUAAAGAAGCACCGGCUAACUACGUG
rnacentral:rRNA from 1 species